AUGCUCGCUUCAGCAACACAUAUACUAAAAUUGGAACAAUACAGAGAAGAUUAGCAUGGCCCUGCGCAAGAAUGACACGCAAAUUUGUGAAGGGUUCCAUGUUUUA
rnacentral:snRNA from 1 species